rnacentral:rRNA from 1 species
UACGUAGGGACCAAGCGUUGUUCGGAUUUACUGGGCGUAAAGGGCGCGUAGGCGGCAAUUCAAGUCAUCUGUGAAAUCUCCGGGCUUAACUCGGAACGGUCAGAUGAUACUGCUUUGCUAGAGUGCGGAAGGGGCAAUCGGAAUUCUUGGUGUAGCGGUGAAAUGCGUAGAUAUCAAGAGGAACACCUGAGGUGAAGACGGGUUGCUGGGCCGACACUGACGCUGAGUGCGCGAAAGCCAAGGGAGCAAACGGG